AACCAACCGGGAUUGCCUUAGUAACGGCGAGUGAAGCGGCAAAAGCUCAAAUUUGAAAUCUGGCGUCUUCGACGUCCGAGUUGUAAUUUGAAGAAGGCAACUUUGUAGCUGGUCCUUGUCUAUGUUCCUUGGAACAGGACGUCAUAGAGGGUGAGAAUCCCGUGUGGCGAGGAUCCCAGUUAUUUGUAAAGUGCUUUCGACGAGUCGAGUUGUUUGGGAAUGCAGCUCUAAGUGGGUGGUAAAUUCCAUCUAAAGCUAAAUAUUGGCGAGAGACCGAUAGCGAACAAGUACAGUGAUGGAAAGAUGAAAAGAACUUUGAAAAGAGAGUGAAAAAGUACGUGAAAUUGUUGAAAGGGAAGGGCAUUUGAUCAGACAUGGCGUUUGCUUCGGCUUUCGCUGGGCCAGCAUCAGUUUUAGCGGUUGGAUAAAUCCUCGGGAAUGUGGCUCUGCUUCGGUAGAGUGUUAUAGCCCGUGGGAAUACAGCCAGCUGGGACUGAGGAUUGCGACUUUUGUCAAGGAUGCUGGCGUAAUGGUUAAAUGCCGCCCGUCUUGAAACACGGACCUCCUGUGUGAAGGGGAUCCGCUA
rnacentral:rRNA from 1 species